AGCUCAUUACCAUGGAAGGGAGGGCAGGCUCCCUCCACUCCCCCCUCCUUCCUCCCUCGCCUCUUCCUUACCAGCUCCUCUCCUCCAGGGUCACACUGAGCCCAGGCUGCUUUCAGCAGACACCGACAGACCCCACAGCAGCUCCAGGAGCCCAGGUUCCAGUGGCCAGAGAGAAGACCCAGAGCUGCCUGCAGCCAUGUCAGCUCUCAGCCUGGUCAUUCUGGGCCUGCUUAUGGCAGUGCCACCUGCCAGCUGUCAGCAAGGCCUGGGGAACCUGCAGCCCUGGAUGCAGGGCCUUAUUGCGUGGCUGUGUUCCUGGUCCUCGUCGCAAUUGCUUUUGCUAUCAACCACUUCUGGUGCCAGGAAGAGCGGUGAGUCCUGCCUGGGACCUGGGGGCUGGGCCAGCGCAGGCAGGCUGGGCCCGGGGCCAUGGCCACUACACUUGGACCAUCAAGAAGGAAAGCCCAGACUGCUCGCUGUGUGGAAGGGACACUGAGACCCCGACCAGAGCUGAGGCUCGCUGCUACCCAGGCCUGUGAGCACAUGCCCUGGGAGCUUUGGGGAGACAUCACCCCUUCUUAGCGUCUCAGUGACCCUAUCUGCAUAGUUGGCACAGCAGCCCAUCUGUGAUGGAGGCUGUGAAAAUCCCUGGACAGGAAGGUUUUGCCCUUCUUUGGAGUUAGCUGCUGCGUCACACAUGGCAGGGGUGUACAGAAGGGCAAUGAGACACACACAACUCUUGUGCUGACAGGCUCUCAGACACUGCCGCUGAGAAAGUCAGCAGGUUCCUAAGUUCUGGGCAGGGCACAGAUUAGAGGGGGAUGAGCUGAAAUCCAGCUCACUCUGCCCUUGCCGAACCUGGGGCAAGGCUCCAUCUACCUCCAGCUCCCAUUCAGGUGGCCUGGUGCCUGCGGGCCAGCAGCAGCCCUGCCCAACCCACUGAGGGAACACAACAGCUCACAGGUGCAAAGAGGGGUGAAGGAGGCCCAAGAGAGCUGUGGAGGUCAGCAGGGCUCAGGCCAAGCAGACUCCAGUGCACCAGAGUCCCAAACCCUGGGCUUUAUCCUUAGGGCCACAGGAGUCAGGGCAGGUUCCUAAGCCAGUCUCGGGUUGAGAGGCAGCUUAAGCAGAAUUGCUGGCUGCCCCAUGGCAGAUGCUUUGGGCUGGGCCAUGCUGCAGGCCAGGAGAGGGAUGAG
rnacentral:lncRNA from 1 species